rnacentral:rRNA from 1 species
ACUCUAGUAAGACUGCCGGUGACAAACCGGAGGAAGGUGGGGAUGACGUCAAAUCAUCAUGCCCCUUAUGACCUGGGCUACACACGUGCUACAAUGGAUGGUACAACGAGUUGCGAGACCGCGAGGUCAAGCUAAUCUCUUAAAGCCAUUCUCAGUUCGGACUGUAGGCUGCAACUCGCCUACACGAAGUCGGAAUCGCUAGUAAUCGCGGAUCAGCACGCCGCGGUGAAUACGUUCCCGGGCCUUGUACACACC